UGGGGAAUAUUGGACAAUGGGGGAAACCCUGAUCCAGCAAUGCCGCGUGAGUGAAGAAGGCCUUCGGGUUGUAAAGCUCUUUUGUUAGGGAAGAUGAUGACGGUACCUAACGAAUAAGCACCGGCUAACUUCGUGCCAGCAGCCGCGGUAAUACGAAGGGUGCUAGCGUUGUUCGGAAUGACUGGGCGUAAAGGGCGCGUAGGCGGCCAGGCACGUCAGGUGUGAAAUCCCUGGGCUUAACCUAGGAAUUGCAUUUGAUACGGCUUGGCUAGAGUUCAGCAGAGGGUGGUGGAAUUGCGAGUGUAGAGGUGAAAUUCGUAGAUAUUCGCAGGAACACCAGUGGCGAAGGCGACCACCUGGGCUGUAACUGACGCUGAGGCGCGAAAGCGUGGGGAGCAAACAGG
rnacentral:rRNA from 1 species